rnacentral:rRNA from 1 species
AUGGAUGACACCAUCUUGGCACAAGAAGAAAGCGAUGAGCGCACCGGGGCGGGCGUCAUUCUCAACAAGGAAGACCAGGCCAGAUAUGCUAAACUUUUGCGUCCCAACAUUCCUCCGCCCAUUGAUCCGUACUCCAAUGUGGCAUGGGAGGACUACGACCAGGUAGAGGAGCGCCUUGCACGCGUUCGCAUCACCUGUUACAAGGUACCUCCAGAGGCCGCACAUGAACUCAAGGAACCGGAAGAGUACACCGAGGAUGAACUUUGUCAGGAGUCCUACUUUCGGCAUUUGGAUGAUGAUGAAAGUUUCGAGUGGUUCUUCCAUCGCGACAAUAGCCAGAAACCUGAAUUGAAUGACUACCAACGCAUUGUCCUUCGUAAUUUCCUGCCUGAUAGUUGUGAACGCCAGUACUGCUAUCACGACGAUUACCGCUCACGUUAUCAUACAUAUGAAAUUGAUUCCGUUUAUGUCAAGUACUAUGGAGAAAUAUCAAAGAAAAUAAAGUGGAUUGCAGAUUAUUUGCAUCUGGAUCGCAGUACCGAGGCGCUACUCCAUUUUGCUGAGGUUCACCCGGCAUUGAAUACUGGGCAACUAUGCCAGUCUCCUUGGAGAAACAUGGAUACUAUAGCAUGGAGGCAAGCAUUGAGGAUUGCAACACACUUUCCCCAUAUGACUGUUCGUUUAGCUGCUUUUGCCUAUAAUGAGUACAUUAUUGAGCUGAACACAUAUGCGUCCCUCAAGGACAUAGAUCUUCUCUAUUUUGAGAUAUGGAGGCUUGUCGCCAAGGAAGAUAGGAGAUACUUAGAUGCUGUGAAGGAAGUAUAUGAAAUGGACAAGUUUGCUAUACACAAAAGGGUACUACAUGCUGAACUGAAUGCGUUGCCUGUCUUUGUAACAAUAAAGCAAAUGAUUUAUUCUAUUGUCAAGGAGGGUGGCAUUGAUCUGAAGGCUAAAGAGGAUGAAGCUCGGGCUGUGUUUAGCAAGUUAGCUUUCAGGAAGCAUAAAACAAUGAACAUGGCGCAGUACGCUGAAAAGAAGAUGGAGAUCGCAGAUCGGUUGGGUUUGGACAAAAAGGUACUUGUUUUCCUUUUAGGCGUGACCUUUAUCAAUGUACAAACCCUUGCUCUUGCCCUCCUUUCCCGCUAUUUUCCAAAUCCGCUUCCGUACUCAUUCACUGGUCUGUUGUCACACUUCACUCACGCACCACUGCUUAUCCACCUCAUCGGCGACCGUGUUCCACUAUCCACCCCCUCACUCUCCACCAUCGUCCCCAACCACACAUUUGAGGCUCAUCCCUCAACCCCUCACGACGACCCCAACACAUUGUGA